AGUGAACGCUGGCGGUAGGCCUAACACAUGCAAGUCGAACGGCAGCACAGUAAGAGCUUGCUCUUACGGGUGGCGAGUGGCGGACGGGUGAGGAAUACAUCGGAAUCUACUUUUUCGUGGGGGAUAACGUAGGGAAACUUACGCUAAUACCGCAUACGACCUACGGGUGAAAGCAGGGGAUCUUCGGACCUUGCGCGAUUGAAUGAGCCGAUGUCGGAUUAGCUAGUUGGCGGGGUAAAGGCCCACCAAGGCGACGAUCCGUAGCUGGUCUGAGAGGAUGAUCAGCCACACUGGAACUGAGACACGGUCCAGACUCCUACGGGAGGCGGCAGUGGGGAAUAUUGGACAAUGGGCGCAAGCCUGAUCCAGCCAUACCGCGUGGGUGAAGAAGGCCUUCGGGUUGUAAAGCCCUUUUGUUGGGAAAGAAAAGCAGCAGGUUAAUACCCCGCUGUUCCGACGGUACCCAAAGAAUAAGCACCGGCUAACUUCGUG
rnacentral:rRNA from 1 species